AAUUAUACCAUGACCAGAAAUAUUCUCUCAUGACUUAGACAGAGUAGCAACAUCGGCAAACAACAUUAAUUAAAUCGGAUUAUUGAUAUGCCAAGAAUAUUGUACCUCUAUGUGAGGCUUGCCCGGCACCAAGAUUAUCUUCAUGUUCAUGUAGUGUUAGUUAAUAUUUGCCAAACCUGGAGCACACCGCCUAAAAACAUGAUGGCACAUUUAAGGUUUUUAAUCCUCAAUGUCAAUCAACUAAAACAAAACUUUUCAUACCUAGCGCAUGCUCACAUAACUUCAUACGAAUGCCCACAUAACCAACAUACCUUGUGAAACCUUUACAUUAGUACAUGAGCAGAAGAAAUGUGUAAGAAAGAUCAAAAACUGUACCUUGUCUUAGGUGAGAGGGGACAGUCCCUUGAACUCUUAGCACGAAGGCACUGCGUUGGACGGGGUGAGGUGGGGAGGGGAGCCACGUGGUGGCCGAAAUGAGGUUGGAUGGGGUCGAAGUUCACCAGGCUGCUCGGCCUAAACGUCAAGCAGUAUGAAAAAACGUGGAUUUCUCACCUUAGGUGUCCUUGAGGAGCUCGGUGGCUGGAGGAUCUCCAUUAUUCAACUGUCUCUAAGCGCAACCGGGUUCGCCUCCCGAUCACGGUCAUAUGUAGAUUGAGAUCGAUCUCAAAACUUGUCAACAUAAGUCGCAGCAGAAAGGACGGUACAACGCCAUCGUACUUGAGGGCGUUGGGUCCUCGGUGUCCUCGGUCUUCUCGGCCAUGGGCGAUGCCGCCGGCGGGCACGGCGGUGGGCUCCUGCCUGCAACAGCCCUCGGCGAGGCGGAAAUAGGGAGAUUGUGACACAAUUCAAUAGGUAUUUAAAAUAGAGAAGCAUUUCAGAGUAGCUAAAAAAAGUACCAAUUGCUAUUGUUAAUAGAUUGUUAUACUGGUGAUAUUCCUGAACCAACCUAUGAUAUUGUUAUUAUGUAUCUUUUUUCAUUCCAAAAAAGUUUAGGUGCUUGUUUUUGUUAUGUCUUUGAUAUCUCCACAAUGAUGGGUUUAUUUUUUUUUACAAUAUGACCAAAGCAUUGUUGGAGUAUGCAUCAUUUUAUAAUUGCACAAAAAGUAUUGCAUAUAUUAGAAGUUUGAAUUAGAAUUCUAUCAAAGAACCUGGUAAUAGAUGAACAUAAAUUAGGAUAAAAUGGCAGUAAUAAUGUUCAGCAAUAGUUGCAAUUGAAAGAAGAAGAGGCAGAUCGAUAGUGUGCAGGUUUGCAGGUUUACCAAUAACAAUGUUCACCAAUAACUAUUAUCACCAACAAUAGCUGUUUUCUGUUCGUAAUAGGAAUGUUCAGGAAAUUAGAAGUGCAAACUCACCUGCUAACACACACAAGUACACAUGCACAUAUGCUCGCACAUCAACUCUGCCUCUUUGGCGAUACACUUCAGAUUAACCAUGCAUCGUUUC
rnacentral:lncRNA from 1 species